rnacentral:rRNA from 1 species
GAUAUGGUUACUUAAAAAAAUAGCAAGGAUACCCUGGGUUUUCCUUUCUUCCCCUUCGUUGCUUCCCCCACCUGCUCUCGUCGCCGUCGCUGUCUUUCUCUCUCUCCAAGGAGGCCAAUGGCUGACGCCAACGAGAAGGCCCCUCCAAAAUCGAACCUCGAAGCAGACCUGAUCGCUUCGAUCUCCCCCUCCUCCACUUCCUCCGGUGCUCGGAAUGCCGUGGCGAUCGAGAGCCAGUUCGCAGACCUCGCAAUCUCUGACGAGCUACCCAAGCCUUCGGGAUGGGGCGAUGAUGCCGUCCUCGGUAUCGCCGGAAGCGAUGAGAUAACCGGAGAGAUCACUGGAGGAAAAGUGCAGCCGGUGGCGACAGCGGAUUCGAGGCCUCGGUUUCCGCAGCGUCACGCGGAGCCGGAUUGUACUUACUACUUGAAGUUCGGAACUUGCCGCUUCGGGAUGAAGUGCAAGUUCAACCAUCCGGCGCGAAAGAAGAAGAAUAGGGUGAAAGCGAGUGGGAGUAGCAGCAGCGGGAGCAACGACAUCAGUAAUAAAGCUUUUCCGCCGGACGAUGAUCAGACUCCUAAAGAAGAAUAUGAAGAUCUUGUUCCAAAUAUUUCAGCUGAAGUCGAUUUGUUGAUUGCUGAUGAGACUGAAAAAGGAUUCUAUUUGAAGAAGUUUAAAGAGACAGAACAAAAGGUUGCUAAAGAGAAAAGAAAGGAAACUGUUUCAGAAGGUAGUGCUCAGGAGGAAUGUAAGUAUUACUCAACGCCUGGAGGAUGCAAAUUUGGGGAAUCUUGCAGAUACCUACAUUACGAAGGGAAAGAAAGGAAAACAGAAGUUGCAAAGGUUGAGCUGAAUUUUCUAGGUCUUCCACUUCGUCCAGGAGGAAAAGAGUGUCCGUACUAUAUGCGCAUUGGGAGCUGCAAAUUUGCCACCAACUGCAGAUUUCACCAUCCGGAUCCUACUAAUGUGGUUUCAAGAGAUCCAGUGUUGGAGCAUGAGAAUGGCGAUAUUCCACAACAAAAUGUUCAAGCAUCUUCUCAGCUGAAUGUUCCAGUAUGGUCUGCUGACCAAAGGGCAUUGAAUGAGCACUGUGCUCCUUUUUUAGCUCCAGCAUCCUCAUACAGUGCGGGAAUGAUUCCACCUCGGGGAAUGUAUCCAUCUCCAGAAUGGAGUGGGUACCAUCAGGUUCCAUUAGGUCCAUACUACCCUCCUGGAAUCUCUUUUCAUCAUUUUCCAGCUCCUCCUGUGAAUCAUCCUAUGUACAGAGGAGCAGAUGUACCGGGACAUCAAGAACUGCCCUCCGAUGAAUACCCAGAGAGACCUGGCCAACCUGAAUGUCAACAUUUUGUUAAAAGUGGGUUUUGUAAAUUCAAGGCCAAGUGCAAGUAUCACCAUCCAAGGUCACUUGUGCCUCCACCAACAGCCGGAGCUCUUAGUCCUCUUGGCUUGCCACUCAGAUCUGAUCAGCCCGUGUGCACAUACUAUGAACGUUAUGGAGUCUGCAAGUUUGGACCAGCUUGCAUGUACAAUCACCCUUUUAAUUUUGGUCAUCCUGUAUCCGCAGCAGGGCCACCUCUCUCUGCUCAAUACCUCACUUCAGGAAACUACACGGUCUAGCAAGCAGGGCCGAUUUUUCUCUGUGGUCGCCAUGAUGCUUGGAAUAACACUUCCACUUGUAAAAUAGCGCAGCUGAAAGUUGCAGGGUUUUCAUGUUGACGAUAGAGAUCUGGUUUGCAAGUCAGCAACGAAGUUGCAUGAAGUUGGGUGCAUAGCCGCUGGGAUUCGUAGAAACUAAACACGUUUCGAUACAUGACACUGCUGCCCCUUUAUAUUGUAGAGCACUUGACGGUUCGUACACAAUUGUUGCGUCACUCAAGCCCACUUUUUCA